rfam:Burkholderia peredens type strain LMG 29314 genome assembly, contig: contig000013
GCAAUCUCCGGCUCGCGAAGGCCGACCGCACCGUGUUCCUGAGCCUGCUCGGCAUCUCGUGGCUGUGGUUCGUCGGCGCGACCUUUCUUACGUCGUUUUUCAAUUUCGCGAAGGACGUGCUG